AUCAGCGUGGCUAUAGGGGCGAAUAUAAUUUACGUGGUAAAAAGGCAAAGCAACAGAUAGACGUUUGUGUGCUCCGUUACUUUAAUCAUAUUUCGGCUUCGGCAAGGAAUUAAACCCAAAGGAAAAUUAUGAGAAUUCCAUCUCGCUCACCGAGGAUAUGUAUUGGAGGCAAUACCUAACAUGUUUGCAUGUCUAUCACCUAUUCUAAGAUUCUUUCAUUGAUCAAUGACCAAACUAUGCCCCAGCCAAUAUUUUCUAAAGGCAUAUUUGUCCGCGAUACCUAUCGACCCGACGCCAGCAUCCCAUUCUCAAAACGCAUCAUCUCUCUGUAGAUGAGUGUGAAAAGAACAAAGAAAGGUAUUGCGGCCACUUGUUUUUUUGUAAAUUCGGGCAGAAACCCCGGGGGAGAUGCGAUGGUAAAAGCGCCAAUAAAUCAUGGAUGUUAUAAAAUAUAUCAGAAAUAUUAUUCCCAGAAAGGUUCGUGAAGAGCAUCUCAUGCAUGAAUGAACUGAUCUUUUGAUGUAACAGACUCAGAACAUGAUUCCUCAGUCUAUACUUACCAGCUUGGAAUAUUUGCGGCAAUGGAUUAUUAGUUCUAUUAUAUUCCCCACUUUAUUCCUUUAAUACCAGUAUAUAAUAUUACAUGCAAAGCCCAUAACGAAAACCCCCUUUUGACAUCCGUCCAGAUUUCUGCAAUCGGCGAGACGAAUGUGGCGGCUGCGAAAAGGCCGUUGUUUUUCAAAGAUGUCGUUGGUAGUGCAUGAACGGCGACCCUGUAGGGCACGAUCGGCUGAUAUGAAACGCUGCCCAGUUGCCUGUCAAGAAACUUGGUGUUUUAUCGUAUAUUUGUGUCCCUCUGGAUAGUGAAGAAGGUUGAUCCGGACGAAACAAAGAAACAAGGAGCAGGUAAAGAUAGUCUUAAUGGGAAAUCUAACAUGCCCCUUAGCGGGGAACCUGCAUAGCUAAUCGAACAAUCUCGCCCAAGGGGACUCUAAAAGAAUUAAAGUGUUCCAAAUAGCUGGGGAUAGAAUAGGGUGAAAGUAAAUGUGGUAGGAAAAACCGAGUUGAUGGUAGUCAAGGAUUCGCAAUAAGAUUCACGUUAUGACGGAAUAUCAAAAGUUGCUCUUACCAGAGCCUCUGUGUCAACCAGUCAAAUAACCUUGCCUUCAAAAGUUCAAAUGCCCGUUCCAGGAGAGGAUGGAAAAUCACCUAUGCCAGUGAUCCUGUAUCCCAGUUCUUUUGGCAUGAAUCUCUGUAAUCUCAAUUCUUUUUUAGGUUCCGGAUAUAAUCUAGGGGAAAACAAUUGCAAAAAAAAAAAAAAAAAAAGGAAUAGAAAAUAUGAUGCCCAGAACUCUUCUGACAAAAGCAAAACUCGCAUUGAAGAAUUGAAGAAUCGAAGAAUCGACCUUGUAAGCCUUCCAUAACUUACUCCCACUCUCUCUCCUUCCUCUAGCUGUAACAAAAUACCACCU
rnacentral:sRNA from 1 species